GCUUGUUGCCUAGCAACCACUUGAGGGCUCCUAAGAGUACUGUAGGUGAUGACAAGAGAAGCUGGCGAGGCAGGAAGGCCCUGGGCCUGUUUCUGAAGUAAGUUCUGUCUGUCCUACACAGACCCUUCUUUCACACGCAGCCUUGGACUGUUCGCCAGGCCGUGGCUGUAACGGGGGCAUCCUGCUUCUCCACCAACUCAGUGGCUGUAACGGGGGCAUCCUGCUUCUCCACCAACUCAGUGGCCGUGCCUGCUAAGGGACUGCCUCCCCACACCCCAUUCUUUCCCUCCUUUCUGCAUUUGUGUUAGCCACCCCCCUCUUCCCUCCCCCUUUGAAAUGUGAUCGACCUAUAGAGCUCGGGCUGGACUCCUCACAGCAGACCUCUGCCUCAGUGAUUACCCUGUGCACAGCCAUACCUGGAUGAUCCUGUGCUUCAGAGCCAUUCAGCCUCCAUGGUCCUGCACCUCACCUCUGCAGCCUCCAUGGUCCUGCACCUCACCUCUGCAGCCUCCAUGGUCCUGCACCUCACCUCUGUAGCCCCCAUGGUCCUGCACCUCACCUCUGCAACUUCCAUGGUCCUGCACCUCGCCUCUGCAGCCUCCACGGUCCUGCACCUCACCUCUGCAGCCUGCAUAGUCCUGCACCCCACCGCUGCAGCCUCCACAGUCCUGCACUUCACCUCUGUAGCCCCCAUGGUCCUGCACCUCAUCUCUGCAGCCUCCAUGGUCCUGCACCUCACCUCUGCAG